CGUAAGUCGCAGUAUUCCG
rnacentral:miRNA from 1 species